rnacentral:rRNA from 1 species
UACGUAGGGGGCAAGCGUUGUCCGGAAUCAUUGGGCGUAAAGCGCGUGUAGGCGGCCCAGUAAGUCCGCUGUGAAAGCCCAGGGCUCAACCCUGGGAUGCCGGUGGAUACUGUUGGGCUCGAGUCCGGAAGAGGCGAGUGGAAUUCCCGGUGUAGCGGUGAAAUGCGCAGAUAUCGGGAGGAACACCAAUGGCGAAGGCAGCUCGCUGGGACGUGACUGACGCUGAGGUGCGAAAGCGUGGGGAGCAAACAGG